CCUAGACUUCUGGGAUAAGAACUUGCAGAGGUCCAGACCUACCUGCUCAGAGAAGUGACCCUGGAGCCUGAAGCUCUCUGUCACGGAGAGUGGACAGAGUCUGCGGCCGGAGGGCUCUGGCCCAGGAAGGGUCGGGUUCAUCUGGGGCUGGAGAAGCGUUAGCUUUGCCCUCURUAUCACAGCCCAAAAGACCAAGAAGGACAGACUGGCUUCAGAAUGGGGGAUCUGGUAUCCCUUUCAGAUGGCUGUGGGAUGAUCCAGAGACACUUUGCCCAGUCCCUUUCAUUCCAAGCGUCUGAUAGAAGGUGCUCUGCAUAACAACGGAGGCCUGGCACAUCCUCUCGGAAUAACUAACCUCUGGCAGAAAACCAGCACAAAGCCUGCGUCAACAGGAGGAAAAGGCUCUCUCUCUCCACACUGCAAUGGUAGAGGAAUAUUUAAGACAGAGAGGAUGCACAGUCUGCACUUGGUGCUGUUAACUCGCAGGACUCACCAAGGGAAACAUCACGUGACACCAGCUCUGAAAAAGSCACUCCAGGUUUCCAGAAAUGUGACAACUUCGCACCAGUACGUACCAGCAUGUAUCUAGGCUGUGUCUGCGAUAGCUGCUCCUCUUCUCCUAGUGAAGCCUUCAGCCUUCGGUACUGCCUAAAAUAUCCCCGUUUUGCCAGUCAGAGAAAAACCAGUCAGAGGAAUAAAUGGAUGGAGGAUUUGCUCUGUGGAAUGAUU
rnacentral:lncRNA from 1 species